rnacentral:rRNA from 1 species
AAUGAACGCUGGCGGCGCGCCUAAUACAUGCAAGUCGAGCGAGAAGACGUAGCAAUACGUUUGUAAAGCGGCGAACGGGUGAGGAAUACAUGGGUAACCUACCCUCGAGUGGGGAAGUAACUAGCCGAAAGGUUAGCUAAUACCGCGUACGCUUCUUGGACUUCGGUUCAGGGAGGAAAGCGAUGCCGAGGGUAUCGCGCUCUUGGAUGGGCUCAUGUCCUAUCAGCUUGUUGGNGAGGUAACGGCUCACCAAGGCUUCGACGGGUAGCCUGGUCUGAGAGGACGAUCAGCCACACUGGCACUGCGACACGGGCCAGACUCCUACGGGAGGCAGCAGUAAGGAAUAUUGCGCAAUGGGCGAAAG